rnacentral:misc_RNA from 1 species
AGGUUACAUUGACUCGAACCAGGCUGUACUUCUAUUCAAUUUUAUUUAUUCAUUGUUUCUCACUUCUCCAGAAUUACGUUUGGAUUUGGAAUUACUGUUGGGUUACCCUUGUUUAGUUUUGGUACAAGAAUCCUAAACUGAUGUGCUGUAUAUUUGGUCAUCCCUGUUCAUAGAGCCGUUCUGUCGCUCUGCUUUAUCGCCGAGCA